AUAACAGCCAUAUUCCUGACUUGGAACAGGACUUUUUGAUAAUAACAGCCAUAUUCCUGACUUGGAACAGGACUUUUUGAUAAUAAGUCAUAUUCCUGACUUGGAACAUGACUUUUUGAUAAUAACAGCCAUAUUCCUGACUUGGAACAGGACUUUUUGAUAAUAAAAGUCAUAUUCCUGAUUUGGAACAGGACUUUUUGAUAAUAACAGCCAUAUUCCUGACUACGGUGACCUAUAGUUGUUAAUGUCUGUGUCAUUUUGGUCUUUAGUGGAUAGUUGUCUCAUUGGCAAUCGUACCACAUCUUCUUUUUAAUAUUGGAACAGGACGUUUUAAGAAACAAAUGUGUUUCUCUGAAUCAUCACAGAUAAUGUCAUGAAAGCUGGAUCCAUAAUGUUUUAUAUGUAUAAAUGUAUGAAAUUUUGGCACAGGACAACUUUGAAGUUUUUGUCCAUUGGGUUUAUGGUAUUUAAGACAUAUCAUUUAGACCUUGAAAUAUACGAGUAUAAUAAAUAAAUGUAACAAAUAUGCAGUUUAGCAUUUAUUGUAAAAAUGACAUGAUGGUAUCAUUAAUGAAAACGUGUUACUUUGUUACAAAAUGGAGGCAUGUUAUGGUAUUUAUACAUGUUACUGCUAUAUGUGCAUCACAUCAAAGGACAAAUACACAUUUACAUACAACAGAUAGACAGAUAGAAUAUCAAAGUUGUAUCAUUAAAAUUAACAGAUAAGGACAGCUUUCUUUUCACAGAACAUCUUAGGGAUACUAAACUGGUAUUAGAAAGAAAAUUGAUCUGGCAUUUUACCACAGGACAGGAUAAGAGUAUAAUAAAAUGCUUAAAAAACUUUUGUUAUGCAUAAUUUUAUUUCCAAAAAACUUUUUUUCUAAUUUUGAAAGAUCAUUGAUAUUGGUUUCUUUAAUAAAAGCAUUGCCCCAAUAAAAAAUAUUCUUAUUUUUAAAUUAAAACAACUCUGAAAAUUGGUUUGCCUUGUAUUAAGUGUAAUUGACUAUGCAUGCACCUCUUUAUUCAGCCAGAUUUAUUUUCAAAGAUGUCUUACUAUAUAAAUUUACUAAGAGUUGUAAAAAUUUGACAAAUCCUUUUUUUUAUCUUACAUGCUAGAAUUAUCAUAAAAGGCUGAACUAUUUGGUAUCAACAGAUUAUGAAGUGAUUUAUAUGUUAUGUGAAUACAAAUGUGAUAAUGAUAUGGCUUGCAUGCAUGUCAGAAUCUACAAAUUGUUAUAAUUAACACAAAUGGGGUGAAGGGGGGAUAAUCACUUGUCAUAAUAAACUUUCGAAGUUUAAAGUGCAUUUUUGUGCAUACUCAUUGUUUUGUUUCAAAAUAAAAUAUUAUAUAGUAGAUGUGAAAUAAAUGAUUUUUUAAAAUUGUGUGUAACACCAUAUUUUUUAUAUAAACUAAAAUCAAUAAAUAAUUUAGAAAUCUUCUAUAUUGUCUGAGGUGUAAAUAUAAAACACAUCUCAUUAAGUACAAUAACUAAUUAUUGAAAUUAGUCAAUCAAUUACAUUAAAUAUUUGCAUUAAUAUUGUAUGAUUGUGUUAAUUAUAACAAACUGUAAACUUUGACGGUCAUAUUAUACAAUUGACGUGCCUCAAAUCUACAUCAUUAUCUUUAUACAAAAAUUAAUUUGCAACUUAGUUGCUCUAGGAUGAUACUGUAUAUCCUUUCUCCUUUUGUAUACAAUUAAAUAAAUAAAAACAAGGUUACGUGUUUCAGACUCUACCAGAGAGCGUGUACUAUAAAUAAAUCGACAAUCACAACAAUCAAUCUCUUGAAAUAUAUAAUUAGAAAAACAAAAUCAUUGUUAGCUUAAAAAAUAAUAAUGACACAAUUAAUACUGAAUCAAAUAUUUAAUAAAACUCUGUACCAGAAAAAUAAUUUUGUUUCUAAAUGUGAUUAAAAUUUCAACACUGAAUUCACUGAACAGACAUGUUUAAUUCUAAGAGCAAUGUCUUUUUUUAGACAUACCAAUUUUGGUUUAUUUUUUUGAAAAUUAUUAUAAAAUCUGCAAAAAUUCAACUUGAUAGGUAUAAGUAGAUAAAAUCUGGUAAAAAUUAAUAGAUAUGUAGCAAUUUAGAUAAAAAUUCAAAUAUAUCUCUCAAAAACAUGCACUUUUUGUUUAUAUUACAAGCGGAAUCAAGUACUAAUUGAAGAAUCUAACUUUAACCUAAAUAUGGAAAAAACAAUUUCUGUUCAUGCAGAAUCCUAUUUUUUUUUAGACAAAAUAAAAUUGAAAAUAACAUCAACUUAUUUAAAAUAGCCUAAAAAAGGUCACAUUUACAAAAUACUGUAAAAAUAAAUUAGUAGUACGUUUAUACACAUUCUUUACAAAAUUAUACAAAGUUGUGGUACAAAAUUUCUGGGCUACAAUACAAAAUUCUUAUUUCUGUCUAAAAUAGUUCUUUCUUAAAAAUGUUAGAAAAUCUUUUAAAUUAUUAAGUAAAUCAAAUACUCAUCAGAAAAUGUACAAAAAAAUCCUUUUCAUUAUAUAUUAAGCAAAUUCAAAAGAUAUAACUGGCACAUUACUAGAUAGCAUAUAUUUUGUAGAUGUUUUAAAUUUUUCAUAAUGCAACAUUAUAUAUUUCUUCACUUGUUUUCUUCAAAUAUUGGGUAACCAUUGAACUAUUGAAUUAUUAAUAUACCAUUAUAUGCAAGCAUAAAAUAUCCAGAAAAAAAGUUAAUAGCAACUGUCUGUCAACCGCAAAUCAUGUGAAAGAGACUUGGCAUUUUCUUACAUCAGUAAUUUAAUCAUAAUAAAAUGCUAUUGGUGAAUCUGAAAUUUGAAGAACAAUUAUUUCCAUAAAUUUUCAAGUGUCCCUUUGGCACUAAAAUGUCAUAAACGUUUUGUUUUCAUUUUUCUGGAAGACAGUUAUCAAUAAACUAAACCAAGAUCACUUGAUGUGAGUACAACUAAGCUAUCUUGAUAAAAUGGGUAAUUGUCAAUUAAUUGAAAUGGUUUAACAAUUUUUAAUUUCCUAUAUAGUUUAUACACAAAAUGAGGUAAACCUAAAAAAACAAAGGAAGGUCGAACUGCAGUAGUGUCAACCAACUGAAAUGGUUUAACAAAUUUUAAUUUCCAAAAUGAGGUAAAAGGAAAAGAAAAGAAGUACCAAACUGCGGCUUUAACUUCGGCUUUUUAUAUAAAUAUGUUCAAUCUAUAAGUAACAGUGAGAUGACCACAUAUGUACAACAUUGACCAUAUUAGACAGAUAUCUAGUAGCUGUUAUAUUGUAUAGAUAUCUUAAAUAUUUCUUAUAGCUAGCUGGAUAAUAAAUGUACACAAGUUUUCAUGUUUAGAAACAGCAAUUUAAUUUUUAUUAUAAUAUAACUCUAUCUGUAUUAAGUGAGAUCUACAAUAAAAUGUGAAUGUUAUUUAUUACUACAAAGUUGUUUAUACAGAAUUUCAUUAUUAAUUAUAAUUUUCCUGUAAUAUCUGUGACCAGAUGUUACCUAUAUGAUGCUACACUUUUCAUUUAUGUCAGAAUUUUCCUGAAUACAGUUAUUGAAAUUUAAAGUGUUUUUCAGGAGUAAAGUAUUGUAUUAUGUAAGCUGUGUAUUUUAAUCACCCAUUAAUCCUUCACUCUCAGAUGGAAUUACACAGACAAAAUAGUGAUAGUAAUAUCCAUUGUCCAAUGUUUUUCAGUUUACCAAAUCUUUUUUUUUUUUUUAUCAUUACAAAUCAACCAAAAUAGGGUAUUUUUCAGUAAAUUUAAAUUGAAAGUUUCAUUGAACAUCUCAAAUACUACUGAACAAUGCUAUAAAACCUCUGUAAAAAGUAAAAUCACAAAAGUACUAAACUCUGAGGAAAGUUCAAAAAUUAGAAUAACUCCUGAAAGCAACUUAUAAAUUGUUCCCAUUAUUCUCCAUUGUAAACAAUUAUGAUCAUUGGUGUAAUCAAAAGUUUAAUAUAAACUUAUUUAAAAAAGACUAUACAAACAUUGUCUUGUUUUGUAAACUAUUCCAUGCAACACUAGGCCAUGUUCAGUGUCUUCAAUGUCAUAAUAUGUGUACUAUGUCAUAAUUUGUAGUGUACUAUGUCAUAAUUUGUAGUGUUCUAUGUCAUCAACUGUUACAAUUUAUGUUACAAUCUUACAUUACAAUACAAUGAACAAAUAAAUCACAUGGCACAGUUAAUAUGACCAAUGAUGAAAAAUCGGUGGUUUCUUUUCAAUAUACACAUCAAGAAGAAUUAUAACUAUUAAUAACACCCUUUAAAAUGUUUGCCUGAGUUGAACAAACUUGCUACAUGGUUGAAUGAAGAUGAAGUUCAAGAUGGCAGCUACCAGAAUUGUUUCUAUUGAAAAUGAUAAGCCUGUCAAAUUAGAAGUUGGAGACUUAACUAUCCUAAUAAAUAAAGCCUUUCUUAUUCAAUACUUGCUUUUAAAACAAAUUAUUUCUGUAAAUUUUCAUUAAUUAUGUAAACUUUUAAAGAAGAUAAGCACUCAUGACAAAUUUCAUUACAAAAUUUAUCCUCAUGGGACACUUUUCUCUUUUUUAGCA
rnacentral:lncRNA from 1 species